rnacentral:lncRNA from 1 species
UAUUUUUCGAUAUGGAGUCGUAUCUUUCAAUACACUUCUUCGAUUCUCGAAUAGAUUAUUUCUAUAUAUUUCAUUCGAUGAUACGAAGCUAUAGACAUCUUCGACCCAUCAAUUGGAUUAUUAGAUUGAAUUUUUAAUUAUAGAUCCCCUUCUCCGACUCAAGCCUAAAUAUGUGGAUCUUCUAAAUAUGAAAACUUAAAACAAGUAAAAGAGUUUACUAAUAAAAUUAUCUGAUGUGAUGGUUAGAACAACG